rnacentral:rRNA from 1 species
GACGAACGCUGGCGGCGUGCUUAACACAUGCAAGUCGAACGGAAAGGCCCUGCUUGCAGGGUACUCGAGUGGCGAACGGGUGAGUAACACGUGGGUGAUCUGCCCUGCACUUCGGGAUAAGCUUGGGAAACUGGGUCUAAUACCGGAUAGGAGCCAUCUUUAGUGUGGUGGUUGGAAAGUUUUUUCGGUGUAGGAUGAGCUCGCGGCCUAUCAGCUUGUUGGUGGGGUAAUGGCCUACCAAGGCGGCGACGGGUAGCCGGCCUGAGAGGGUGUACGGCCACAUUGGGACGGAGAGACGGCCCAGACUCCGACGGGAGGCAGCAGUGGGGAAUAUUGCACAAUGGGCGCAAGCCUGAUGCAGCGACGCCGCGUGGGGGAUGAAGGCCUUCGGGUUGUAAACUCCUUUCGCUAGGGACGAAGCUUUGUUGUGACGGUACCUAGAGAAGAAGCACCGGCUAACUACGUG